AGUGAACGCUGCGGUAGGCCUAACCCAUGCAAGUCGAACGGCAGCACAGUAAGAGCUUGCUCUUACGGGUGGCGAGUGGCGGACGGGUGAGGAAUACAUCGGAAUCUACUUUUUCGUGGGGGCUAACGUAGGGAAACUUACGCUAAUACCGCAUACGACCUACGGGUGAAAGCAGGGGAUCUUCGGACCUUGCGCGAUUGAAUGAGCCGAUGUCGGAUUAGCUAGUUGGCGGGGUAAAGGCCCACCAAGGCGACGAUCCGUAGCUGGUCUGAGAGGAUGAUAAGCCACAAUGGAACUGAGACACGGUCAAGACGCCUACGGGAGGCAGCAGUGGGGAAUAUUGGACAAUGGGCGCAAGCAUGAUCCAGCCAUACCGCGUGGGUGAAGAAGGCCUUCGGGUUGUAAAGCCCGUUUGUGGGGAAAGAAAAGCAGCAGGUUAAUAACCCGCUGUUCUGACGGUACCAAAAGAAUAAGCACCGGCUAACUUCGUG
rnacentral:rRNA from 1 species